rnacentral:rRNA from 1 species
UACGAAGGGGGCUAGCGUUGCUCGGAAUUACUGGGCGUAAAGAGUACGUAGGCGGAUCGAUUAGUUGGUGGUGAAAGCCCAGAGCUCAACUCUGGAACUGCCAUCAAUACUGUCGAUCUGGAGCAGAGUAGAGGUAAGUGGAAUUCCAAGUGUAGAGGUGAAAUUCGUAGAUAUUUGGAGGAACACCAGUGGCGAAGGCGACUUACUGGACUCUUGCUGACGCUGAGGUACGAAAGCGUGGGGAGCAAACAGG